UGAUCCGCCCACCUCGCCCUCCCAAAGUGCUGAGAUUACAGGCGUGAGCCACCGCAUCUGGCCGCCUUUCUUCAUUUUUGUGGGGAGACUUAUGCCCAGCUGAGAGAAUUUGGGUCUCCCUUUAGGGUGACCAACUAUCAUGAUUUUCCUGGGAUUGAGGGGGUUUCUGGAUUGUAGGACUUGCAGUGCUAAAACCUCUGCCUCCUGGGCCCAAGU
rnacentral:lncRNA from 10 species